ensembl:lncRNA
GGGGGGGCCAGUAGCUAGGUAUCUCCUACAGGGGGCCAGUAGCUAGGUAUCUCCUACAGGGGGCCAGUAGCUAGGUAUCUCCUACAGGGGGCCAGUAGCUAGGUAUCUCCUACAGGGGGCCAGUAGCUAGGUAUCUCCUACAGGGGGCCAGUAGCUAGGUAUCUCCUACAGGGGGCCAGUAGCUAGGUAUCUCCUACAGAGUGCCAGUAGCUAGGUAUCUCCUACAGAGUGCCAGUAGCUAGGUAUCUCCUACAGAGUGCCAGUAGCUAGGUAUCUCCUACAGGGGGCCAGUAGCUUGGUAUCUCCUACAGAGUGCCAGUAGCUAGGUAUCUCCUACAGGGGGCCAGUAGCUAGGUAUCUCCUACAGGGGGCCAGUAGCCAGGUAUCUCCUACAGAGUGCCAGUAGCUAGGUAUCUCCUACAGGGGGCCAGUAGCUAGGUAUCUCCUACAGGGUGCCAGUAGCUAGGUAUUUCCUACAGGGGGCCAGUAGCUAGGUAUCUCCUACAGGAGCCAGUAGCUAGGUAUCUCCUACAGGGGCCAGUCGCUAGGUAUCUCCUACAGAGUGCCAGUAUCUAGGUAUCUCCUACAGGGGGCCAGUAGCUAGGUAUCUCCUACAGGGGGCCAGUAGCUAGGUAUCUCCUACAGGGGGCCAGUAGCUAGGUAUCUCCUACAGGGGGCCAGUAGCUAGGUAUCUCCUACAGGGGGUCAGUAGCUAGGUAUCUCCUACAGAGUGCCAGUAGCUAGGUAUCUCCUACAGGGGGCCAGUAGCUAGGGAUCUCCUACAGGG